rnacentral:rRNA from 1 species
AUACGGAGGAUCCGAGCGUUAUCCGGAUUUAUUGGGUUUAAAGGGUGCGCAGGCGGCCAUUUAAGUCAGCGGUUAAAUCGUGGGGCUCAACCCCAUUCUGCCGUUGAUACUGGGUGGCUUGAUUGCGGUCGAGGUUGGCGGAAUUCGUUGUGUAGCGGUGAAAUGCAUAGAUAUGACGAAGAACACCGAUUGCGUAGGCAGCUGACCAGACCGCAAAUGACGCUCAUGCACGAAAGUGCGGGGAUCGAACAGGAUUAGAUACCCUGGUAGUCCGCACAGUAAACGAUGAAUACUUGUUUUCGGCGUUAUAAUGUCGGAGGCAAAGCGAAAGCGAUAAGUAUUCCACCUGGGGAGUACGCCGGCAACGGUGAAACUUAAAGGAAUUGACGGGG